rnacentral:rRNA from 1 species
AUUGAACGCUGGCGGAAUGCUUUACACAUGCAAGUCGAACGGCAGCACGGACUUCGGUCUGGUGGCGAGUGGCGAACGGGUGAGUAAUGUAUCGGAACGUGCCCAGUCGUGGGGGAUAACGUAGUGAAAAUUACGCUAAUACCGCAUACGAUCUAUGGAUGAAAGCGGGGGAUCGCAAGACCUCGCGCGAUUGGAGAGGCCGAUAUCAGAUUAGGUAGGUGGUGGGGUAAAGGCCCACCAAGCCAACGAUCUGUAGCGGGUCUGAGAGGACGACCAGCCACACUGGAACUGAGACACGGUCCAGACUCCUACGGGAGGCAGCAGUGGGGAAUUUUGGACAAUGGGCGAAAGCCUGAUCCAGCCAUUCCGCGUGCAGGAUGAAGGCCCUCGGGUUGUAAACUGCUUUUGUACAGAACGAAAAGGUUUCUACUAAUACUAGGAGCUCAUGACGGUACUGUAAGAAUAAGCACCGGCUAACUACGUGCCAGCCGCCGCCGUAA